rnacentral:lncRNA from 10 species
GUGGGUGGCCCACACAGUGCAGGUGCUUGGAAGAUGGAUUCAGCAGGACUUGGUGACUGGCUGGGGAGGCGGGUGAGAAAGAAGAAGGGGUGGAUGGAGGGGCUAUCUACGGAGAUGGGGGGGUCGGGAGGGAGGGGGUGGUCUUGAGAGAAAGAAUCAUGAGACAGUUCUAGCCAAGCUUGGAUUGAGGUGCCUGAGAGACACCUGAGUGCAGGCAGCUGGGUGCCCAGGCCUGGGGCUCAGGAGGCGGGUGUGGGAUGAUCUAGGAAUUAUGAGCUAGAGAUGGAAAGUCAGCUAUGGGGGAGGCUAGGGAGAGAACAUGGGAAGAGAAGAGGGCCCAGGACACAACGUCAAUGACUGUUGGAAGAAGAGGCACCAAGGACACCGAGAAGCUGCUGGCGGAGCAGUGGGGGAAUAUCAAGUCAGAGAAUCCAGAAGGCCCUUGGAGGGUGUGGUCUGCAGGUGUGAGGAGGCCGAAAGCCCAGGCAGGUUGACGACUGUAAAACGCCGGUUGGAUUUAGCAAAAUGGAGGUCCGGGGCCUUGAGCAGGAGCAGGUUGAGUAGAGGGUGGGGAGGGGCAGAGACAGCCUCGUGGGAGGUGAAGCCUAGGAGAUGGGACUUGGAGAUAACAGGUUACUGCCAGGAACUGGGGCUGAAGGAGGAGGAAAGGAAUGGGACCGAGUUCAAUUGAAGAGGAUAGACAGGCUUGAUUUGUUUGCUUGUUGGUUUUUAGGGUGGGAGGAACUGGGCAUGUUUAAGAAGAGGGAGCCAGUCAGGAGAGAGAGGUUCAGUGUCUUUCCCAGAAUAGACCCUUGAGGCUAAGAACAACAACAAAAAAUCCAGUAGAGCCCCAGGAGGAAAGGAAUUUGGCUUUUUAGCUGAGUAGUGAAAAGGCAAGCUGGCAAUUGCCCUUUGGCUCUGCCAGGGAAGGUCAGAGAAAGGCCUCCCCAGUGAUGGAGAGGGGAAGGAAGUGAGGGGGAGAAAAAACAGUGGAGAGAUAAACAAGCCUUGGCUGGAAGGAGGAGAGAGAAGCCCCCUCUGAAGGUACCUAGGGGUAUUAAAAGGGGGAAGUUAACAGUGAGAACAAAUAAUAAAGAUUCUUAUAUGUAGCCAAGGUUUGCUCUUUGUGUACUCUGAGACUACCAUACGUAAAGGCUGGUGUUUGAACUUGGCUCCUAGCAGUGGCAGCUUGUUAGGGAAGAGUUCUGGCUCGGGAGGCAGGAGAUCAGGCUUCUGGUCUAGCUCUGCCAUUAACCGGCUCUGGAGCCUGGGCCGCAGUGUCCCAUAUUUCAGUUGGGCUGGAGAAUAUGCAUUCCAGGAGAGCAGGGAUAUUUGUUUUGUUCCCCGAUGUAUCCCCUGGAUCUAGCACAGGACUGGCAGGAACCCCAGAUUCUUCUCCAUGGUCGGAAUCAUUGCAAAAUAACUGGUUUCCCUAGGAUCACCAGCUGUCAUGGACUGAUUUGUGUCUCUCCAAAUUCAUAUGUUGAAUACUUAACCUGCCAUGCGAUUGUGAUUGGAGAUAAUUCCUUUAGGGAAGCAAUGAAGGUUAAAUGAGGUCAUAGGUGGGAGCUUAAUCCAAUGGGACUGGGGUCCCUACAAGAAGAGGAAGACACCAGAGCUCUCUGUCUCCACACACAGAGAAAAGAGGCUGUAUGAGGACACAAGAGAAGGUAAUAGCUGUCUACAAACCAAGAAGAGAAGCCUCUCCAGAAAAUGAACCCUGCUGGAACUUGGUCUUGGACUUUCCAGCCUCCAGAACUGGGAGAAAAUAAAGUUCAAAAUAAAGUUCUGUUGUGUAAGCCCCCGAGUCCAUGGUAUUUUGUUAUGGCAGCCCUAGCAGACUAAUAACACCUGCUAAUUAAACUGCUUGUUCUCCACUUGUUGUCUCAGGGUCUGUUCCUAGGGAACCUGGACUCAGACAGAUGCUCUGCUUAAUUAGACCCCAGGGAAAUGUAAAUGAAAACCACGUGUGAUGCCAUGUCACAAGUACUAGGAUAACCAGAAGGAAAUCUGACCACAUCGGAUGCUGGUGAGGUUGGGAAGCUGUCAUAUUUAGCUGACGGAGGUGUGAGUCGGCAAACCACUUUGGAAAAC